CCUACGGGAGGCAGCAGUGAGGAAUAUUGGUCAAUGGGCGUAAGCCUGAACCAGCCAAGUCGCGUGAGGGAUGAAGGUUCUAUGGAUCGUAAACCUCUUUUAUAAGGGAAUAAAGUGUGGGACGUGUCCUGUUUUGUAUGUACCUUAUGAAUAAGGAUCGGCUAACUCCGUGCCAGCAGCCGCGGUAAUACGGAGGAUCCGAGCGUUAUCCGGAUUUAUUGGGUUUAAAGGGUGUGUAGGCGGCCUUUUAAGUCAGCGGUGAAAGUCUGUGGCUCAACCAUAGAAUUGCCGUUGAAACUGGGAGGCUUGAGUAUGUUAGAGGCAGGCGGAAUGCGAGGGGUAGCGGUGAAAUGCUUAGAGAUCACGAAGAACCCCGAUGGCGAAGGCGGCCUGCCGGGCGAUGACUGACGCUGAUGCACGAAAGCGUGGGGAUCAAACAGGAUUAGAGACCCGUGUAGUC
rnacentral:rRNA from 1 species